rnacentral:tRNA from 1 species
GCGAAUUAGAGCUUGAUAUAAGCAUUUUAUUUACAUUAAAAAGUUAGUUGUGAAAUUCAACUUAAUUUGA